rnacentral:rRNA from 1 species
UACGUAGGGUGCAAGCGUUGUCCGGAAUUAUUGGGCGUAAAGCGCUCGUAGGCGGUUUGUCGCGUCUGCUGUGAAAACUGGAGGCUCAACCUCCAGCCUGCAGUGGGUACGGGCAGACUAGAGUGCGGUAGAGGAGAUUGGAAUUCCUGGUGUAGCGGUGGAAUGCGCAGAUAUCAGGAGGAACACCAAUGGCGAAGGCAGCCCCCUGGGUCGACACUGACGCUGAUGCGCGAAAGCGUGGGGAGCAAACAGG